rnacentral:rRNA from 1 species
AUUGAACGCUGGCGGCAGGCCUAACACAUGCAAGUCGAACGGUAGCACAGAGAGCUUGCUCUCGGGUGACGAGUGGCGGACGGGUGAGUAACGUCUGGGAAACUGCCCGAUGGAGGGGGAUAACCACUGGAAACGGUAGCUAACACCGCAUAACGUCGCAAGACCAAAGUGGGGGACCUUCGGGCCUCACACCAUCGGAUGUGCCCAGAUGGGAUUAGAUAGUAGGUGGGGUAAUGGCUCACCUAGGCGACGAUCCCUAGCUGGUCUGAGAGGAUGACAAGCCACAACGGAACUGAGACACGGUCCAGACUGCUACGGGAGGCAGCAGUGGGGAAUAUUGCACAAUGGGCGCAAGCCUAAUGCAGCCAUGCCGCGUGUAUGAAGAAGGCCUUCGGGUUGUAAAGUACUUUCAGCGGGGAGGAAGGCGGUGAAGUUAAUAGCUUCACCGAUUGACGUUACCCGCAGAAGAAGCACCGGCUAACUCCGUGCCAGCCGCCGUAAAAC